UACAGAGGGUGCGAGCGUUAAUCGGAAUUACUGGGCGUAAAGCGUGCGUAGACGGUUACGUAAGUCGGAUGUGAAAGCCCCGGGCUCAACCUGGGAAUUGCAUUCGAGACUGCGUAGCUAGGAUGCGGAAGAGGGAAGCGGAAUUUCCGGUGUAGCGGUGAAAUGCGUAGAUAUCGGAAGGAACACCAGUGGCGAAAGCGGCGACCUGGGUCGAGACUGACGCUGAGGCGCGAAAGCGUGGGGAGCAAACAGG
rnacentral:rRNA from 1 species